rnacentral:misc_RNA from 1 species
UGAUCCAUUAGGUGGCUUUUACAGGUUAGGUGGUAUUUUGAUUUCAUUGUUGUUACUUAUUCUCUCACCUUGUUUAUAUAAAAGACCAAGUGGAUGAGACUUUGGCUUUCAACUUUCGAGAUUAUUCUUUGUUUGGCUCAAUAAUGUUGGACAAUAGAUCUAUGAUGUUCUCCCUUUUUAUAUUAGGAGUAUUUAUCUUCUUUAGUUGCUGAUGAUAUCAAUUGCAUAUUAUUGCUAUAAUAGAAAUAAAAUUGCAUAUUGAUGACUUUUGGCCAUUUUAUCUUAG